rnacentral:rRNA from 1 species
UACGGAGGGUGCGAACGUUAAUCGGAAUCACUGGGCGUAAAGCGCGCGUAGGCGGUUUGUUAAGUGGGAUGUGAAAUCCCCGGGCUUAACCUGGGAAUUGCAUUUCAAACUGGCCGACUAGAGUACGGUAGAGGGAGGUAGAAUUUCCUGUGUAGCGGUGAAAUGCGUAGAUAUCGGGAGGAACAUCAGUGGCGAAGGCGGCCUUCUGGUCCAGUACUGACACUCAAGUGCGAAAGCGUGGGGAGCAAACAGG